UAGGGAAUUGUUCGCAAUGGGCGCAAGCCUGACGACGCAACGCCGCGUGGAGGAUGAAGACCUUCGGGUCGUAAACUCCUUUCGAUCGAGACGAAUGGCUUCCGGCUGAAUAAUCCGGGAGAAUGACGGUACCGAGAGAAGAAGCCCCGGCUAACUCCGUGCCAGCAGCCGCGGUAAUACGGGGGGGGCAAGCGUUGUUCGGAAUUACUGGGCGUAAAGGGCUCGUAGGUGGCCAACUAAGUCAGACGUGAAAUCCCUCGGCUUAACCGGGGAACUGCGUCUGAUACUGGAUGGCUUGAGAUUGGGAGAGGGAUGCGGAAUUCCAGGUGUAGCGGUGAAAUGCGUAGAUAUCUGGAGGAACACCGGUGGCGAAGGCGGCAUCCUGGACCAACACUGACACUGAGGAGCGAAAGCCAGGGGAGCAAACGGGAUUAGAUACCCCGGUAGUCCUGGCCCUAAACGAUGAAUGCUUGGUGUGGCGGGUAUCGAUCCCUGCCGUGCCGAAGCUAACGCAUUAAGCAUUCCGCCUGGGGAGUACGGUCGCAAGGCUG
rnacentral:rRNA from 1 species